UGUGAGGUAUAGUAUGGUAGGGUUAUGAGGUAUAGUAUGGUAGGGUUAUGAGAUAUAGUAUGGUAGGGUUAUGAGGUAUGGUAGGGUUAUGAGGUAUAGUAUGGUAGGGUUAUGAGGUAAUGUAGGGUUGUGAGGUAUAGUAUGGUAGGGUUAUGAGGUAUAGUAUGGUAGGGUUAUGAGGUAUGGUAGGGUUAUGAGGUAUAGUAUGGUAGGGUUAUGAGGUAUAGUAUGGUAGGGUUAUGAGGUAUGGUAGGGUUAUGAGGUAUGGUAGGGUUAUGAGGUAUGGUAGGGUUAUGAGGUAUAGUAUGGUAGGGUUAUGAGGUAUAGUAUGGUAGGGUUAUGAGGUAUGGUAGGGUUAUGAGGUAUAGUAUGGUAGGGUUAUGAGGUAUAGUAUGGUAUGGUUAUGAGGUACAGUAUGA